GAUGAACGCUAGCGAUAGGCCUAACACAUGCAAGUCGAGGGGCAGCAUAAAGGUAGCAAUACUUUGGUGGCGACCGGCGCACGGGUGAGUAACGCGUAUGCAACCUACCUACUACAAGGGGAUAACCCGGAGAAAUUCGGACUAAUACUCUAUAAUACAGGGGUCCCGCAUGGGAAUAUUUGUUAAAGAUUUAUUGGUAGUAGAUGGGCAUGCGUUCCAUUAGGUAGUUGGUGAGGUAACGGCUCACCAAGCCAUCGAUGGAUAGGGGAACUGAGAGGUUUAUCCCCCACACUGGAACUGAGACACGGUCCAGACUCCUACGGGAGGCAGCAGUGAGGAAUAUUGGUCAAUGGAGGCAACUCUGAACCAGCCAAGUCGCGUGAAGGACGACGGCCCUACGGGUUGUAAACUUCUUUUGUAAGGGAAUAAAGUUUAGUACGUGUACUAUUUUGCAUGUACCUUACGAAUAAGGAUCGGCUAACUCCGUGCCAGCAGCCGCGGUAAUACGGAGGAUCCGAGCGUUAUCCGGAUUUAUUGGGUUUAAAGGGUGCGCAGGCGGGAUGUUAAGUCGGCGGUGAAAUUUUGCGGCUCAACCGUAAAAGUGCCUUCGAAACUGGCAUUCUUGAGUGUAGAUGAAGUAGGCGGAAUUUGUGGUGUAGCGGUGAAAUGCAUAGAUAUCACGAGGAACUCCGAUUGCGCAGGCAGCUUACUAAGCCACAACUGACGCUCAUGCACGAAGGCGUGGGGAUCAAACAGG
rnacentral:rRNA from 1 species